CCUCGGGAAGCAGCAGUGAGGAAUAUUGGUCAAUGGCCGAGAGGCUGAACCAGCCAAGUCGCGUGAGGGAUGACGGCCCUACGGGUUGUAAACCUCUUUUGUCGGGGAGCAAGACCCGCCACGAGUGGCGGAGCGAGAGUACCCGAAGAAAAAGCAUCGGCUAACUCCGUGCCAGCAGCCGCGGUAAUACGGAGGAUGCGAGCGUUAUCCGGAUUUAUUGGGGUUAAAGGGUGCGCAGGCGGACCAUCAAGUCAGCGGUAAAAUCGUGGGGCCCAACCCCAUCCCGCCGUUGAAACUGGCGGUCU
rnacentral:rRNA from 1 species